rnacentral:rRNA from 1 species
GAAACGACUGCUAAGACUGGAUAGGAAAUAAAAAGGCAUCUUUUUAUUUUUAAAAGACCUUUUUCGGAAGGUAUGCUUAAAGAGGGGCUUGCGUCACAUUAGUUAGUUGGCAGGGUAAAGGCCUACCAAGACUAUGAUGUGUAGCUGGACUGAGAGGUUGAACAGCCACAUUGGGACUGAGACACGGCCCAAACUCCUACGGGAGGCAGCAGUAGGGAAUUUUCGGCAAUGGAGGAAACUCUGACCGAGCAACGCCGCGUGAACGAUGAAGUAUUUCGGUAUGUAAAGUUCUUUUAUUGAAGAAGAAAAAAUAGUGGAAAAACUAUCUUGACGAUAUUCAAUGAAUAAGCCCCGGCAAACUAUGUGCCAGCAGCCGCGGUAAUACAUAGGGGGCGAGCGUUAUCCGGAAUUAUUGGGCGUAAAGGGUGCGUAGGCGGUUUAAUAAGUCUAUAGUUUAAUUUCAGUGCUUAACACUGUCCUGCUAUAGAAACUAUUAGACUAGAGUGAGAUAGAGGCAAGCGGAAUUCCAUGUGUAGCGGUAAAAUGCGUAAAUAUAUGGAGGAACACCAGAGGCGUAGGCGGCUCGCUGGGUCUUUACUGACACUGAGGCACGAAAGCGUGGGGAGCAAACAGGAUUAGAUACCCUGGUAGUCCACGCCGUAAACGAUGAGUACUAAGUGUCGGGAUUACUCGGUACUGAAGUUAACACAUUAAGUACUCCGCCUGAGUAGUACGUACGCAAGUAUGAAACUUAAAGGAAUUGACGGGACUCCGCACAAGCGGUGGAUCAUGUUGUUUAAUUCGAAGAUACACGAAAAACCUUACCAGGUCUUGACAUACUCUGCAAAGCUAUAGCAAUAUAGUGGAGGUUAUCAGGGAUACAGGUGGUGCAUGGUUGUCGUCAGCUCGUGUCGUGAGAUGUUAGGUUAAGUCCUAAAACGAGCGCAACCCUUGUCAUUAGUUGCCAGCAUGUCAUGAUGGGCACUUUAAUGAGACUGCCAAUGAAAAAUUGGAGGAAGGUGAGGAUCACGUCAAAUCAUCAUGGCCCUUAUGAUCUGGGCUACAAACGUGAUACAAUGGCUGUUACAAAGAGUAGCUGAAACGCAAGUUUAUAGCCAAUCUCAUAAAAGCAGUCUCAGUUCGGAUUGAAGUCUGCAACUCGACUUCAUGAAGUUGGAAUCGCUAGUAAUCGCGAAUCAGCAUGUCGCGGUGAAUACGUUCUCGGGGUUUGUACACACCGCCCGUCA